rnacentral:rRNA from 2 species
GGUUAAGUGACUAAGCGUACACGGUGGAUGCCUUGGCAGUCAGAGGCGAUGAAGGACGUAUUAACUUGCGAUAAGCCCAGUUUAGAUAGUAAAAAUCACUUGAGACUGGGAUUUCCGAAUGGGGAAACCCACGUGCAUAAGCACGUAUCGUUACGUGAAUACAUAGCGUAACGAGGCGAACUCGGGGAACUGAAACAUCUAAGUACCCGAAGGAAGAGAAAUCAACCGAGAUUCCGAGAGUAGCGGCGAGCGAAAUCGGAUUAGCCCUUAAGCUAGUCUUGCGUUAGGUGAAUGUGCUGGAAAGCACAGCGAYACAGGGUGAUAGCCCGGAAACCGACAACGCAUUACCAGUGAA